ACGUACACUCCUACGGGAGGCAGCAGUGGGGAAUAUUGGACAAUGGGCGCAAGCCUGAUCCAGCCAUGCCGCGUGAGUGAUGAAGGCCCUAGGGUUGUAAAGCUCUUUCACCGGUGAAGAUAAUGACGGUAACCGGAGAAGAAGCCCCGGCUAACUUCGUGCCAGCAGCCGCGGUAAUACGAAGGGGGCUAGCGUUGUUCGGAUUUACUGGGCGUAAAGCGCACGUAGGCGGACUAUUAAGUCAGGGGUGAAAUCCCGGGGCUCAACCCCGGAACUGCCUUUGAUACUGGUAGUCUUGAGUUCGAGAGAGGUGAGUGGAAUUCCGAGUGUAGAGGUGAAAUUCGUAGAUAUUCGGAGGAACACCAGUGGCGAAGGCGGCUCACUGGCUCGAUACUGACGCUGAGGUGCGAAAGCGUGGGGAGCAAACAGGAUUAGAAACCCGGGUAGUCCCAU
rnacentral:rRNA from 1 species